CCUGUUCCUAGAAAUGUUAUAGGUGUUGCUGCUGUGUCACAUGUACGCCAGUAGGUGGCAGAGAGGAGAGAGGCUAUGUCAAUGCUCAGUGGUCUGAUCCAUGAACAUCUUAAUGAUUAGUAGCCUAGCAUU